UAACGCGUGAGUAACCUGCCUUCAAGAGGGGGAUAACAUUCUGAAAAGAAUGCUAAUACCGCAUGACAUAUCGGAACCACAUGGUUUUGAUAUCAAAGACUUUAUCGCUUGAAGAUGGACUCGCGUCCGAUUAGUUAGUUGGUGAGGUAACGGCUCACCAAGACCGCGAUCGGUAGCCGGACUGAGAGGUUGAACGGCCACAUUGGGACUGAGACACGGCCCAGACUCCUACGGGAGGCAGCAGUGGGGGAUAUUGCGCAAUGGGGGCAACCCUGACGCAGCAACGCCGCGUGAAGGAUGAAGGUUUUCGGAUUGUAAACUUCUUUUAUUAAGGACGAAAAUUGACGGUACUUAAUGAAUAAGCUCCGGCUAACUACGUGCCAGCAGCCGCGGUAAUACGUAGGGAGCAAGCGUUGUCCGGAUUUACUGGGUGUAAAGGGUGCGUAGGCGGCUUUGCAAGUCAGAUGUGAAAUCUAUGGGCUCAACCCAUAAACUGCAUUUGAAACUGUAGAGCUUGAGUGAAGUAGAGGCAGGCGGAAUUCCCCGUGUAGCGGUGAAAUGCGUAGAGAUGGGGAGGAACACCAGUGGCGAAGGCGGCCUGCUGGGCUUUAACUGACGCUGAGGCACGAAAGCGUGGGUAGCAAACAGGAUUAGAUACCCUGGUAGUCCACGCUGUAAACGAUGAUUACUAGGUGU
rnacentral:rRNA from 1 species